UCGAAGCGCACGCCGGUGACU
rnacentral:misc_RNA from 1 species